rnacentral:rRNA from 1 species
GACGAAGGUGGCAAGCGUUGUUCGGAAUCACUGGGCAUAAAGCGCACGUAGGCGGUGGCGUAAGUCGGGUGUGAAAUCCCUCGGCCUAACCGAGGAACUGCGCCCGAUACUGCGUUGCUUGAGGACCAAAGGGGUGCAUGGAAUUUCCGGUGGAGCGGUGAAAUGCGUUGAUAUCGGAAGGAACGUCGGCGGCGAAAGCGGUGCACUGGUUGGUCUCUGACGCUGAGGUGCGAAAGCCAGGGGAGCAAACGGGAUUAGAUACCCUGGUAGU